rnacentral:rRNA from 1 species
UGGGGAAUAUUGGACAAUGGGCGCAAGCCUGAUCCAGCCAUGCCGCGUGAGUGAUGAAGGCCCUAGGGUUGUAAAGCUCUUUCACCGGUGAAGAUAAUGACGGUAACCGGAGAAGAAGCCCCGGCUAACUUCGUGCCAGCAGCCGCGGUAAUACGAAGGGGGCUAGCGUUGUUCGGAUUUACUGGGCGUAAAGCGCACGUAGGCGGACUUUUAAGUCAGGGGUGAAAUCCCGGGGCUCAACCCCGGAACUGCCAUUGAUACUGGAAGUCUUGAGUAUAGUAGAGGUGAGUGGAAUUCCGGGUGUAGAGGUGAAAUUCGUAGAUAUUCGGAGGAACACCAGUGGCGAAGGCGGCUCACUGGACCAUUACUGACGCUAAGGUGCGAAAGCGUGGGGAGCAAACAGG